AAAAGAAUAUGCAUACAGCAUAAGACACAACUAUGGGAAAGAAGGAAAGAGAACGGAUUACACACCUUAUUCUUGUCAAAAGAUUAUAUCAUCAACUCCUGGAGUUGGAGAUCACCAUGGCUGUCCAUAUCGUCAUUUCAGUGAGGAGAAUCUGAGAGCUGCUCUGACCAGGAUGAGAGUAGGCAAUCGAGCACUGGAGGAUGUGAUAGACAAAGUCCGAAAUAGACAUUACCAGUUGGCAUGCACUUUGACCUUUGAAGCUGUUCAUGGCUCAUCUUGUGAUGCCGGGGUUAACCAUCCAAAUCAGUACUACAAUGACAGUCAGAGGAUCUUGGAAUCACAGAAGAGUUCCAGUAACCCAAAAGGAACAGCAGCUUCAAUGUAGGGCAAUAUAGAUGUG
rnacentral:misc_RNA from 1 species